UAUAACGAAAAUUUUAUCAAAAUUCCAACCACAGGAAAAUAAUUCUUUUUCAUCAACUCCCCUCCAAAUCAUGUUCAGGAUAUCUUAUCUCUUUUUAAGUUAAUAUGUAUAUUUAUAUUAAGGGGCAAUACAAGUUCAAACAUUGUCUUCUAGAGGAAGUUCCUUUGGAAGGAUCCAGAAGAAAACCUCGAAGUGAGACCCUGAGACAUGUCCGCGGCAUCAAGCUUAACAUUUUGCCUUCCCGCUGUCAAAUCCUUCUCACGAUCCCAAGGUUUCCAUGGAUGAUUUCCUUGCCAUUCUUCUUUCGUUGAUUCCUGCUUUGAUUUUUUCUUUGACUUGCUACGAGCCGUCUCUUGAUGCUUUUCUACCAUAGAUUUUGAUCGUCUCGCUGUAUUAUACUGUUUCACCAGUUCAGCAUCCACACUUGAUCUACUCUUUUCUUGCAGCUCUUUAGAAGCAAGAGCUGAAGCCUCAUUGAAAGCCUCCAGAUAAUUCAUUUUGGCUUUCUGAGCUCGAUCUGAUGGGGUGUCUGUCCAGGCACUAGUAUCACCACGGCCUUCUUUCGAGCUUUUGCUAAAGCUCGUCUUUGAGUGCAUGCUCACAACACCAGCUUUUCUUUCAGGAGGCAGUGUAGUCAUCCAUUCAUCUCUUUUUGGUGCAACUUUGACCUCCAUCUCUGCUAACAGCAGAUCAUCACCUUCCAUCGAGAUACCUUGCAAACGUCUCCACUGGGCAGCUUCACGCAUAGCUUGUAAUUCUGCCUUCAUUUCCUCUUGUUCUUCCUUGCGCUUUAUUUUCUCAUCCAACACAUUCCUUUUAUCUGGAUCUUGCAAAUCUUUAAAGGCUUUGUUCAGCUUGAUGAACGCUUGGUGAGCUUCAGGAUGCGUGCACUUAUCAGGAUGCACCAUAAGAGACAACUUCCAGUACCUUUUCUUCAUGUUGUCACUCAACAUAUUUCUGUUCGCACCCAAAACAUCAUAUGAGUUGUCAGCAUCUGCUACCAUGAUUCUUGUAACCUCUUCAAAACGUUCAGCCUCGUUUGCUGAUUCUACCUCAGUCACCAAAGCAGGAGGUGGGGGUCCUAUAAACAAUUCAGUAUCUUCUUCCAGCUCAACAUCCCUCAGCUCCGCUUGUGCUUCAGUCAACUUAGCUGCGGCAGCAAGUAGUUCUGCAGAAGGCAUUGCAGGACCAAUCACCCUCUUUUUUGGGCCAGUAUCUUCUUCGGCAGGCAAGCUUAAAUUAGCAUCGUAAGCGGUAGCACUAUCGCUUGACAAACUCAAAUUGGCAUUAUGACCACCAGCUGCUUCAUUUGGCAAACUCAAAUUGGCAUUACAAUGUUCCUGUGCAACUCCCGAAUCCAACGGCUUGGACUGCUCAUCAUUUUGAUGCAACUCUUGACUUUGAAGUUGCAUUUGGGAGCGGAUUAAGGGUCCUACAGUCUCCAAAGUAGGAAAUGCUUUUGAUGGUAAUAGAAAAACAUGAUCACCCGUUUCCUUAAGGUUUAAGGAGAGGAACAGUUUUCGCAGACGCUUGACCAACAAUUUUUCAGAUAAACCCCUUAUAUCUACAGCUUGUCCAUCAUCAAUCAUUUGAAGAAGCUGUUUCAAAUCACCAGCUACAGUAGGGAACUCCUGCAAUAUGCCUUUG
rnacentral:misc_RNA from 1 species